AACGGUGGCUAAUACCGCAUAACGUCGCAAGACCAAAGAGGGGGACCUUCGGGCCUCUUGCCAUCAGAUGUGCCCAGAUGGGAUUAGCUUGUUGGUGAGGUAACGGCUCACCAAGGCGACGAUCCCUAGCUGGUCUGAGAGGAUGACCAGCCACACUGGAACUGAGACACGGUCCAGACUCCUACGGGAGGCAGCAGUGGGGAAUAUUGCACAAUGGGCGCAAGCCUGAUGCAGCCAUGCCGCGUGUAUGAAGAAGGCCUU
rnacentral:rRNA from 1 species